rnacentral:rRNA from 1 species
UGGGGAAUAUUGCACAAUGGGCGCAAGCCUGAUGCAGCCAUGCCGCGUGUAUGAAGAAGGCCUUCGGGUUGUAAAGUACUUUCAGUCGGGAGGAAGGUGGUAAGGUUAAAAACCUUAUCAAUUGACGUUACCGACAGAAGAAGCACCGGCUAACUCCGUGCCAGCAGCCGCGGUAAUACGGAGGGUGCAAGCGUUAAUCGGAAUUACUGGGCGUAAAGCGCACGCAGGCGGUUGAUUGAGUCAGAUGUGAAAUCCCCGGGCUUAACCCGGGAAUUGCAUCUGAUACUGGUCAGCUAGAGUCUUGUAGAGGGGGGUAGAAUUCCAUGUGUAGCGGUGAAAUGCGUAGAGAUGUGGAGGAAUACCGGUGGCGAAGGCGGCCCCCUGGACAAAGACUGACGCUCAGGUGCGAAAGCGUGGGGAGCAAACAGG